GUUGUAUAGAUCAUUAGUGAACCAUUUUGGCUGAUUGAUUUUCUUCACACUCUUGAACUUUAAAGCACCUCAAGAUGGUGACCGGAAGGUGAUCGGAAAGUCCAGAUUUACCUAUGGCUACUUCUCUAAUUUUUACAGGAUGACUAGAAUAAAUAUGGUCUAAGCACGCAUCAGAGGCAGGUCUUGUUACUCUAUUUACCAUCUGCGUUAAUCCAAGACUGUUCAGUGCCUUUGUUAGACAAUGUUUCUUAUAACAGUUGAAAUCAAUAUAAUCUAAAUUGAAGUCUCCCAGAAUAAUCAAUUCAUUGUUUUGGA